CUUCAUGAGCAGGAAGAAGGCCAGCGUCCCAAAGAUGGUGAACUCCGGCUGGUACCACUCCAGCCACAGGUUCUCAGGGUCAAGCUCUUUGGGCCAGGGUGGGGAGCCGAGUUCCAGGUGGCCAGCGCCCAGGAGUUGUUGUCAAACAGCGAGUCCAAAUGCUGGCCCAUGGACAGCUGGAGCAGGGCAAGUGGCUGUCCAGCAAGUCCCCUGGCUGCCCCCCCAUGAUCUCCAGCCCGCCUCUCCUUAGGGGUGUUUCAGGGACUGAGACAACAUGCAAAGGGGGCAACAGAGGAGGCCCCCACUCCUGCUCCCGUGCGCCCCUUACCGAGAAGCAAUGAAGCGGCCCACGCCAGGGGGGGUAGGUGAUGGAGGCCAGCACCAGGGCUGCCAGGGCCGAGUACAGUGGCUUACUGGAGCAGAGGGCGCCGGUGAGCGCCAGUGCUGCCUCCUCCUUCCCCACCCAUCCUUCAUCUGAGGGGUCAGUGGGAGGAUGAGGGCUCCCCAAGGGCUGGGUGGCCCAAGAGGCCCCAGUGCGCCUGGUGGCCAGCAGUUUGGAGGUGAACCGAUUGGUCUUGAGGUAGCCCAGGAAGGUGCGCUGACAGAACAGGUAGGCACAGCUCAUGAUGCCACAGAUGCCCCUGGGCACAGGGCAGGCAGUGAGUCAGCCCCCACCCCCCAGUGAGGCCUGGGGAACCCCCAACCCCAGAUGGGCUCCAGGGUCCCUGCUCACCCCAGAACUACAAAAAAGAAGAUUUCGGGCAGGUCGAAGGGCACCUCCACGGGGAAGCUUGUCCUGAAGAGGACUGUGAUAGUCUCUGGGGAGAGGGGAGUGAGGAUUGAACGCAAGGGCUUCACAGCACAGAGCUAUAGCCCUAGCCCUUUUUAUAUUUUCAUUUUUUGAGACAGGGUCUCACUAAGUCACUACAUUGCCCAAGCUGGAUUUGAAUUUGCAAUCCUGCCUCAGCCUCCUGGAAUGCUGGGAUUACAGGCAUGCACCACCACAGGGACUGUUAUGACCCUGACCUGAGGAAACCAGGCUCAGAGAAGUGAGCUCACUGGCCGUGGUCACACAGUGGGAACUAGAUUUCAAACUGACAUCUGUCUAGUGUCCUCCUAAAGACACCUGGCCCUGCACCCCACCCUGAGCUAGGACUAGUCCCAGCCUCUUCUCCUGGCCCCUCAGCUGGGCAGGGAGCGGCUGGUCAGUCCACAAGCCAGGAGGGCAGGGCCAGGGAGCCCCAGGGGCGCAGGGGCAAGGGGGGGUCUCACCACUGAAGGGGGCUGCAAACACAGUGGCCACGCCCACUGCUGCCCCGGCCACCAGCAUUUCAUUUUGCUUGCUCUUGUUCUGGGGAGAUGCAGGUCACCGAGCUCAGAGGCAGCCCCUCCCUUCUUCUCCCACCCAUUCCUCCAGAGGUCCGAGCCCCUCACCUCAGGCUCUCCGAUGGUCCUGGUGCGCACGCGGCCCAGGUAGGCAGCGAUCAUCGCACUCAGAUGCACAAAGGGACCCUGUGGGUGGGUGCGGGCACAGGGCAUGGGGCAUGUGCCCUGGGGGAGCCGGGUCCCUACUUUUCUUCCUCCUCUUCCUGGGGUCCAGCAGGCCCUCCCCCACUGCCAUCUCCCCAAACCCCAGGACCAUCCUGAGACAGCUUCUGUCCCAUCUGGGGCCCGGGCUGUCUCCCUGUGGCUGAGGGACCGACUGGCUUUGGCUUCGUACCACUUUGCCCAGGAAGAUGGUGCUGCCGCUGGCCAGCGUGCAGCACAGACCCACCACCUUGGCUCGAAGUUCUUGAUGUCCAGGUAAUCCUCCAGAACCACCCCUGACAGGAUGGUCUUCAGCUCCGGGAUCCCAGACCCUGGGUGGGCAGACAGGGCCGAGGAGGGGGGCAGCUAGAGCCUCCCACUCCUGAGGGGAGGGGGUCAGAACCCCAUUUUGCAGACGCAGAGG
ensembl:lncRNA